UACGUAGGGGGGCAAGCGUUGUCCGGAUUUAUUGGGCGUAAAGGGCGCGUAGGCGGCCUGGCAAGUGGAAGGUGAAAUCCCUCGGCUUAACCGAGGAACUGCCCUCCAAACUGCUUGGCUUGAGUCCGGGAGAGGUGAGUGGAAUUCCCAGUGUAGCGGUGAAAUGCGCAGAUAUCAGGAGGAACACCGGUGGCGAAGGCGGGUCUCUGGGCCGAUACUGACGCUGAGGAGCGAAGGCGUGGGGAGCGAACAGG
rnacentral:rRNA from 1 species